rnacentral:rRNA from 1 species
UACGUAGGGUGCGAGCGUUAAUCGGAAUUACUGGGCGUAAAGCGUGCGCAGGCGGUGAUGUAAGACAGAUGUGAAAUCCCCGGGCUCAACCUGGGAACUGCAUUUGGGACUGCAUCGCUGGAGUGCGGCAGAGGGGGAUGGAAUUCCGCGUGUAGCAGUGAAAUGCGUAGAUAUGCGGAGGAACACCGAUGGCGAAGGCAAUCCCCUGGGCCUGCACUGACGCUCAGACACGACAGCAUGGGGAGCGAACGGG